CCCUUAGAUGUUCUGGGCUGCACGCGUGUUACAAUCGGGAGUACAACAAGAUUGCAAAUCCUAGUGGAUGAGUGGUUCUUCGAAAUUUUCUGGAGACUGGGAUAGUUGAUUGAAAUUAUUCAACUCGAACGAGGAAUUCCUUGUAAUUGUAAUUCAUUAUAUUGUAAUGAAUACGUCCCUGCCCUUUGUACACACCGCCCGUCGCUCCUACCGAUUGAACGAUCCGGUGAAUUAUUUGGAGUAGCUCUGGAAGUUGCAGAACUUCCUAUGUCACGAAAUUUUGUAAACCUUAUCGUUUAGAGGAAGGAAAAGUCGUAACA
rnacentral:rRNA from 1 species